UCGAACGAGAAACGGAUUUAGCUUGCUAAAUUGCAGUCUAAGUGGCGCACGGGUGAGUAAUGUAUAGGUAACAUGCCUUCUACUAGGGGAUAACAGUUGGAAACGACUGCUAAUACCCUAUAUUCCUUAUUAGCACAAGUGUGUAAGGGAAAGAUUCAUUGGUAGAAGAUUGGCCUAUAUUGUAUCAGCUAGUUGGUAGUGUAAUGGACUACCAAGGCUAUGACGCAUAACUGGUUUGAGAGGAUGAUCAGUCACACUGGAACUGAGACACGGUCCAGACUCCUACGGGAGGCAGCAGUGGGGAAUAUUGCACAAUGGGCGAAAGCCUGAUGCAGCAACGCCGCGUGGAGGAUGACACAUUUCGGUGCGUAAACUCCUUUUAUAUGGGAAGAUAAUGACGGUACCAUAUGAAUAAGCACCGGCUAACUCCGUGCCAGCAG
rnacentral:rRNA from 1 species